UCCCUGGUGGCUCAGAGGUUAAAGCAUCUGCCUGCAAUGCAGGAGGCCUGGGUUCAAUUUCUGGGUCGGGAA
rnacentral:tRNA from 1 species